rnacentral:lncRNA from 1 species
AAUCUAACUGAUUUCUUCCAUUUUUAUGCUUUAUAUUCUAGGUUGAGCCCUCCUUCACCUCCAGGAAGUGAGGAGAUGGCUGCUCCCUGCCAAGAAAGCGCAGCCAGGUUUCUGGCACAUUCUGAGCAGGCAAAGGGCUGGUGUCUGAGGUUGGCAAGGGCGAUGCUUCUUCAAGUGCACGCGGCACCUCCAGUCACUCAUCGCUCAAAAAAGUCACAGAAGGGGAGAGGGGGGUAGCAGAUGAAAUGUUUGCAAGGAAAGCAGAAUAAUAUGCAAAACCAAGAUGAAACAUGUUUCAGGUCUACAUUACAAUUCAGACAGAAAUUUAAAUCAGCUGAAGACACCAGAAUAAAAUGCUCUCUUCUUUGCUUUGCAUUCCCAACUGUAGCCUCACAGGAAAUUCAGUCCCUGGCAAGCUUCAGCUCCAGACAGGAAACAUUCUGAGGAAUUUCUUCCAUACAGGUACUAUAUUUGCUUGGAGGGUUAACAUGUUGGAGAUAUUUACCAUGGCUGGAUUUAACUAGCAGGA